rnacentral:rRNA from 1 species
AUUGAACGCUGGCGGCAUGCCUAACACAUGCAAGUCGAGCGGAUGAAGGGAGCUUGCUCCUGGAUUCAGCGGCGGACGGGUGAGUAAUGCCUAGGAAUCUGCCUGGUAGUGGGGGAUAACGUCCGGAAACGGGCGCUAAUACCGCAUACGUCCUGAGGGAGAAAGUGGGGGAUCUUCGGACCUCACGCUAUCAGAUGAGCCUAGGUCGGAUUAGCUAGUUGGUGGGGUAAAGGCCUACCAAGGCGACGAUCCGUAACUGGUCUGAGAGGAUGAUCAGUCACACUGGAACUGAGACACGGUCCAGACUCCUACGGGAGGCAGCAGUGGGGAAUAUUGGACGAUGGGCGAAAGCCUGAUCCAGCCAUGCCGCGUGUGUGAAGAAGGUCUUCGGAUUGUAAAGCACUUUAAGUUGGGAGGAAGGGCAGUAAGUUAAUACCUUGCUGUUUUGACGUUACCAACAGAAUAAGCACCGGCUAACUUCGUG